rnacentral:rRNA from 1 species
GAUGAACGCUGGCGGCGUGCCUAAUACAUGCAAGUCGAGCGAACAGACGAGGAGCUUGCUCCUCUGACGUGAGCGGCGGACGGGUGAGUAACACGUGGAUAACCUACCUAUAAGACUGGGAUAACUUCGGGAAACCGGAGCUAAUACCGGAUAAUAUAUUGAACCGCAUGGUUCAAUAGUGAAAGACGGUGUUGCUGGCACUUAUAGAUGGAUCCGCGCCGCAUUAGCUAGUUGGUAAGGUAACGGCUUACCAAGGCAACGAUGCGUAGCCGACCUGAGAGGGUGAUCGGCCACACUGGAACUGAGACACGGUCCAGACUCCUACGGGAGGCAGCAGUAGGGAAUCUUCCGCAAUGGGCGAAAGCCUGACGGAGCAACGCCGCGUGAGUGAUGAAGGUCUUCGGAUCGUAAAACUCUGUUAUUAGGGAAGAACAAAUGUGUAAGUAACUAUGCACGUCUUGACGGUACCUAAUCAGAAAGCCACGGCUAACUACGUG